UACGUAGGGUGCGGGCGUUAAUCGGAAUUACUGGGCGUAAAGCGUGCGCAGGCGGUUUGGUAAGACAGAUGGGAAAUUCCCGGGCUUAACCUGGGAACUGCAUUUGUGACUGCCAGGCUAGAGUGCGGCAGAGGGGAGUGGAAUUCCGCGUGUAGCAGUGAAAUGCGUGGAUAUGCGGAGGAACACCGAUGGCGAAGGCAACUCCCUGGGCCUGCACUGACGCUCAUGCACGAAAGCGUGGGGAGCAAACAGG
rnacentral:rRNA from 1 species